AUUGGCGAAGGGUUCUUUGCAACCAAAUUUUUAAUAGCGUAUAUUCAUAUUCGGAGAGUCAGUUAUGCGGUUUUUUUAAAAUUUUUUUUUUUUCGGGGUUCAGCUUUUCUGCAAAUUCUAUCUUUCAUAGAAUUUAUUCACAAACCCACCGGAAAUAGGUGUUCCAUUCACGGCGAUGGCAAUGUUGUUGUAGAAAAGUCCACUACUUUCAUGAUUUCCUUAGUGACCAGAGCCAAGAGUUUUGCUGGGGUUUCCUGCCCUCAGCCGGCCACCCCCAAUUUGAGGUCUGGUAAGAAGAAUAGAUGCAUCAACAAAACCUGGGAAAGUUGUCAAUUGAUCGAAAAAAUCUGGGAAAGUUUCCAUGAUGUCAAAUUGAUGGACAGGAUUAUGAUAUGUUCCCUUAAACUUGAGAUAGUCCAGCCUCAGCCUACACGCAUUACCAAGAUCUUCUCAGAUUAGGGUAGCUGCUGUGAAGUGAUCGAUCAUGAGAUCAGAUGCAAUAUCUUUUCUCACGGUCUUCCAACUUCUGCAAAUGUGGCAAAGCUUAUUUUCGAUACAGAGAAUCAUGAAUAAGGUUCAGAUUUCAAGUUGAGGUUAUGGGAUAUAGAAUCUGGGUGCAAUACACUCGUGAACUUUGAAACAACACGUCUACGGCUAUUCAAAUGGCUGUGUCCCAAGACUAUCUCUUGCUUUUGUUUCAUGCAUUCCAGCCACAAUAUAUGAAGCUAGGGAGGGUAGAUAUGGACCUGUUUUUAAGGUUUGUAAAACAGUCGAAAGGCCGAGAUAUUCGAAAUUAUUAAAUGAAGGGCAGAUUACUCAACUCCUUAAGGUCACAUGCCGACGAAUCCAAGAAAGAGAGCCUGACAUUCUCCAGAUAGUGAUUACUACAGAGACAACCAGAGAUCCAUCUUUUUUGCUGCUCGAUGUAAAGGGCAACAUCGUGAUACUUUUGGAGCUCAAGCAGUUUAUCAACUUGUGCACACUGGAAUUUCACCCGGACUUCUACAUUCGAUAAUCAAGCAUGCAAACUUGGAACACCGACUUGUAAGACGAUGAACAAGUUGAUUCUGAUUUGAAUUAGCUAGCUUAUUAUAAAUUGGUAAUUGAAGUUCAAUUUUACAUAUAGGAAAACCAAGAUGGUGCCUGUUCCUUUUUUGAGCAAACUAUAGAUUGAAAAAGGAAAGGAGCAGGCACAGACUUUUCCAUUGUAGUUUGCACAAUAUUCAUGCUUCAUAUACUUGGUAUGCUUGAUCUUUCAAAGUUUUCUUGGCUCUUUUCCUCAAUAUUAGAUUCCAAGUAGCUGAAUGCAGUGCUGAUUUUCAAUGCACAAUAUUUUAGCACUAUGUACUUCUCUGUUAUGCUGUAACUUGUGCAACAUGUACAUUAAUGUUGGCAAUCGAGAAGGUAAAAAUUUCCCAACGCACAAGAACUCUCUGAUAUUUUUCUCACCGUGUUUUCAAACCAGUUCUUACAAAGCAAAUAAACCUAGGUGUACCCAUAAGAAUAUUGUCUAACCGCAUUCCAAUUAAAAAAAACCCAAUUCAAAACAAUUACUACCUAAGAGGAGCAAUUAGA